rnacentral:tRNA from 2 species
GGAGUUAUGGCUCAGUGGUUAAGAGCACUGACUGUUCUUCCAGAGGUCCUGAGUUCAAUUCCCAGCAACCACA